CAAUCUGGACAAUAUUGCUCAACAUUUUGGGGGGUAAAACUGUACGUUAUAUGUGCCCUUCUGUGAUAUUCAUAAGCGUAUAGCUUUUCCCCUUAAAAGUUAGAGCUAUUGCAACGAAAAGUGU
rnacentral:pre_miRNA from 15 species